AACAAAGAUGAGAGAUCAUUAGAAUCCCAACCAACAUUUUUUUUCCUUGAGCUAAAUUGGACCAACAAAGAUGAGAAGACAUGGACUCAAAUUCUAUUUAUACAGAAUGAGGGGUAGCCUGGUCGAUGAGUACCCCUACCUACCAUGAGCACCUGGUUUUGAUUCUCAUCAGAGGGUGGAGUGAGGGUAGCUAAGGGUGUAAUUUGGGUUCAUCAAGCCAUUUGAACCAAAUUGGGCCCAAAUUGAACAUAUGCAUUGAUAUGGGCUACGGAGGAGACCAAUUUGUUUGUAAUUUGUCAGUCAUUUUCUACAUCUAUACCUAUAUAUAAAGUGGAGACGCUCUCAGCUCUCUCCCUAUUUCUCCAAUACACUUCUCUCCAAUAGAACGUGUUCUGCGGCAAUAAAAGAAGCGAAAAAAACGGACGAUCUCAAAGCCGUUUCUAUCUACGUUUGCUGCUUCCCUUCUCUAUUUCCAUCUCCCAAUUAAGCAUGCCCGGCGGCAAUAAAGAAUGCUAUCCGUUUGCUUUGUGGUGAUGGGGUUCAGGGCGACGAUGGGCUGUCGAUUUCAGUGAUGUUUCAACUGUUGCUUCCUCCCGUGACAUCCCUAAUCCUCCCAAUUUCUCUCGCGCCUCUCAAGAUCAGGAUGAUUCCACGCGAAGUCGGCAAAAGAAGGAUUUUGAGGCCAAUUGGAAAGCUCAGGUUCUUUUUUUAGAAUCUCUAAUUUUUUCGAUCCAAUCCAGAUCCUAUUGAUUAGGCUGAAUUACCUAAAUUGUUAUCAGUCGGUAGAGGAUCUGAGUUGAUCCCUGUUAAUUGAAUUUUUUGGGGUUUCCGGUACCCUGGUUUUGAAUGAGCUCAAAAGAGGAACUCUGUAAUUUCGUUUACUUCUGAAACUUUUGACAAUUCGCGACAUGUCGUAACAAGGUAAGGUUUUAUGGAUUUUAGCGAUUACUGAUUAGCAUCUCUUUGUAAUAUUUUCUUCCGUGUUUUCGGUCGUACGGGGAAAUGAAGUCAUGUCGAUGAUUGAAUUCAUGAAUCUUAUUUCAAUUUCCUGAUUUAGGUGCGAUUGAAUUUAUGUAUUUGUGCCUUCUCUUUUAUAACUAUUAUCAGGCUGAUUGUCACAAGUGUGUUGGAAUCUCAGGUGGAAUUAUCCUAGAAAAAAGUAGUAGUCAUAAAGGCAUGGUUAUAUGAUGAUAUGGGUACAAGAGUUGAUUGCGAAGCUCCAGGUCUUGGAUUUUCCUAGAUGUUAUGAUUUCUGAGUCAUUGUUGUGUUCAUUUCAUUGUCAUUACGCUUAUUGUUGCCUUCCUUACUUUUCAUUGGAACUGAUUUAAUUAAAAUGUCAACAGCAUGUGGAUGUUGUGUCUUGAAAAGUAGAUGGUGAUCUUAAAUUAGUGGCGAAUAUGAGCUUAACAUAAAAGGUGGUUCAUUUAAAUUUCGAUGAAAAAUGUUUUACCCUUUGAUUAACUUUCUCUUUAAAGACUUCUUUGAUUAACUUUCUCUUUAAAGAAUUUUUUAAUUACUCAUUUCUUUGUUCUCCCAAUGAAGUCUAUUUCACAAAGUCGAUAUCCAAAUUCUCUGGCAUCAUCAAAUUGAUGUUAUCUGACUCCUGAGAUCACCCCAUCCACAAAAGGAUGUGCCCAUCUUAAACUAUGACCUGGCUCUUCUUUUUCAGCCCAUACUAAUGUCGUUUCUUUAAUUGCUAAUGACUGCAGCACACUAAUAUGAUCUUUAUGUUUAUUUAUAUUGUGGAGCCAUUGCAGUGAAAGAGAGGGAAAAAGGCUAUUGGGUUGAUUUUCAUGGGAACUUUAAAGCCUAAAAUUGAAAGUGGCUUACUAGGUUUAGGAGGAGCUUUUCAAUGUGGAGAAUGUUGAGAGAUAUUGAACAAAAGAGCAGUUAGGCUAUGGAAAAGGAAUGACAUGUUUUUGAUGUCAGGACUGGGGAUAUUGUGGAGAUUAAAUUGGAAGUUCCCGAAAAUAGGCGUAGAUUGUCUGUCUAUCUACAAAGGUAUUGUUAAGUCUAGACAAAAUGCCUGCGUCCACACCACCAUUUGGAUCUGGAGAAUUGUUGUUGGCGUGAUGGUUCAAAUUGUCCUCCCUCUGCAAGUAUUACCCUGCCAUCAUUUCUAAGGCUUAGGUCAUGACUAUUUGUUUUAGCUAGCUAGAAAAAAUAAUGGCAAAGUUAUCUUUGGCCAAAUAAUGUUGUAUGAUGAAUUAUGUGAUAAUGUAAAUUUGUGCCGUUGGACAUGGAAAAGGCCAAUCUGGUGUUGCCAUGGCAAU